rnacentral:rRNA from 1 species
UACGUAGGGUGCGAGCGUUAAUCGGAAUUACUGGGCGUAAAGCGUGCGCAGGCGGUUUUGUAAGACAGGUGUGAAAUCCCCGGGCUUAACCUGGGAACUGCAUUUGUGACUGCAAAGCUGGAGUGCGGCAGAGGGGGAUGGAAUUCCGCGUGUAGCAGUGAAAUGCGUAGAUAUGCGGAGGAACACCGAUGGCGAAGGCAAUCCCCUGGGCCUGCACUGACGCUCAUGCACGAAAGCGUGGGGAGCAAACAGG